rnacentral:rRNA from 1 species
UACGAAUGGUGCAAGCGUUAAUCGGAAUUACUGGGCGUAAAGCGCGCGUAGGUGGUUCGUUAAGUUGGAUGUGCACGCCCCGGGCUCAACCUGGGAACUGCAUCCAAAACUGGCGAGCUAGAGUAUGGCAGAGGGUGGUGGAAUUUCCUGUGUAGCGGUGAAAUGCGUAGAUAUAGGAAGGACAACCAGUGGCGAAGGCGACCACCUGGGCUAAUACUGAAACUGAGGUGCGAAAGCGUGGGGAGCAAACAGGAGGAGAUAACAGGGUAGUCC